AAUCGGAGAGUUAGCUCUUUGAGGCCGGCUGCCCUUAAAUCCUCUCACUUCACACAUAAGGAAACUGAGGCCGUGACGGCCAAGGACUCGCCUAAGGUCGUUCCGUAUUCCACCUGCUCCUCUCUCCCGAAGCGGGGGCACUCUUCCCUGACCCCAGGGACGACUCUGAAGCCAGUUCUGGAGGAGGGCCCCCAAUUAGAAAAAUGCCAGGGAGGAAUAGCAACCCUGACCACUUAACACACUGUGAUUGGGGCAACAAAAAUCUUCACCUGAGACCCAACUCCGCUGUUCUGCUUCCUCGGUGGAAGCCACACGAACCCCACUGGUACAGCGGCAGCGAUAGACCCCAGGCGGCUGAAAGCUUAUUUGGAGCGUCCCGGAGCAUGUCGAUUGUGCUGUGCCAGUGCAGGGGGAGUACCCCUCAGUUCUGGCCCCAGGCUCCAUUCUUUGCUAACCGGUCCAAGAAGUGGGGGGGCAGUCAGUGCCAGUGGGUUUAGAACUCCUCAGCCGCGGCUUCAACAUCACACACAACCAGAAAGCAAACCUUCAUGAGGCUGAGAGGCAGGCCGCCCUGCCAAUACAUUCCAUCACAUGGCACCCUCGGAGCGUUCCUAUUUUAGGGACUGGUUGGAAGACAGCUAGAAACAUAGAAAGCAGGCAAAAUGUUUGCUGGCUUUACUCCUUUCCUUUGAGGGCAUCGUCAUGCAUCCUAGGGGGGAAAAAUCUGCACAGAUCCUGGAAAUCAAGAACUUCGUGAACCAGAGGAAGGGGGCUGUUUGCCAGUACUAGUCUACAGAGGCCUCUGAUCUUUUCACAUUUAAUGCCCCAGCAUCUAGAGCUGAGCAUGCAGAAGUCGCCACACACACAAAUGUCCAGGCUGGAGCACAGUGGCGCGAUCUCGGCUCACUGCAACCUCCGCCACCC
rnacentral:lncRNA from 10 species